rnacentral:vault_RNA from 1 species
AUGUUGGCGUAGUCGAGUGGUUACUUCGUUUGUAUAAUGUAACUAUGACAUUUGUUAACUGGCGGGUUUGAACCCCGUAGAACCACUGACGCUUUCCCACAUUGAA